rnacentral:rRNA from 1 species
GGAGAAAAGCAGGGGAUCGCAAGACCUUGCGCUCAUUGAGCGGCCGAUGCCUGAUUAGCUAGUUGGUGAGGUAAAGGCUUACCAAGGCGACGAUCAGUAGCUGGUCUGAGAGGACGACCAGCCACACUGGGACUGUGACACGGCCCAGACUCCUACGGGAGGCAGCAGUGGGGAAUUUUGGACAAUGGGGGAAACCCUGAUCCAGCCAUGCCGCGUGAGUGAAGAAGGCCUUCGGGUUGUAAAGCUCUUUCAGCCGGAACGAAACAGUCACGGAUAAUACCCGUGACUACUGACGGUACCGGAAGAAGAAGCACCGGCUAACUACGUGCCAGCAGCCGCGGUAAUACGUAGGGUGCGAGCGUUAAUCGGAAUUACUGGGCGUAAAGCGUGCGCAGGCGGUUUUGUAAGUCAGAAGGGAAAUCCCCGGGCUUAACCUGGGAACUGCGU